ACGGGGGGAGCAAGCGUUGUUCGGAUUUGCUGGGCGUAAAGGGCGCGUAGGCGGCCACCGCAAGUCGGUUGUGAAAUCUCUGGGCUUAACCCAGAAAGGUCAACCGAUACUGCGGGGCUAGAGUGCAGAAGGGGCAACUGGAAUUCUCGGUGUAGCGGUGAAAUGCGUAGAUAUCGAGAGGAACACCUGCGGCGAAGGCGGGUUGCUGGGCUGACACUGACGCUGAUGCGCGAAAGCCAGGGGAGCGAACGGGA
rnacentral:rRNA from 1 species